GUGUGUGUGUGUGUGUGUGUUAACCUGCUGUAGAAUGACCAUGGUUGUGGUUGUUCUCCCAGUGAGGACAUCAGCAGUGUGCCUUUGGUCCUGGAAGAGAGACGGAGAACAUGUGAGGGCGUUCUUAUAGUUUCAUGAAAAACAACAUUUCAUUCAUUUUUCGUUUAUUUAUUUAUUUCAGGCAAUGACAUAAAAAAAGUACAAAGUUGACAACACAUAAUAAUAUAAAUUAAUAUAGUGCAAAAGGUCAUGUAUAGUAUGUAAUGCAUAAUUGUCCAGUUUUGCCUGAAAGGGAGUGGGAAGAAGAUAAUUUAUUUAAUCCCACCCCCAGUUCUCCAUUCAGUGAUUAUUCACAUGAGUUUCACUUUUACUUUGUUCAAGGAUUAUAAUCCAGAUGUCGUAUCAUAGUGGCAUUACCACAGGUAACAAUAAUUAUCACACUGUAACAAUAAUUUGUAUCAACGAUGUAGGAAUAAUGAAUAUACCAACAAUGGUAAUAGACAACAUAGCAAUAAUGGUAAUAGACAACAUAGCAAUAAUGGUAAGGAAACAUUGAGCACAUGUUAACACUUUGAGACAGAGUACAACAGCAGGUCAAAUUAAAGAGCCUCAUCUCUAUAUUUGAACCAGACCCCAUUUUUGUAUAAUAGUUUAAAUCGAUUAAUAGUUUGGCAUUGCUUGUGUUGUAAGUCCAGUUUGUUCCAUAGUUUUACUCCGCAUACAGACACACAAAAACGUUUACGAGUGGUUUGAGCUCUCGGCAAUAAGAAAUAUCCAAAGCCUCUCAAGUUAUGAGCCUGCACUCGUCUUAUAAAAAAACAUUGUAGAUUAGGCGGCAAUAAUUUGUUAAAUGCUUUAUAUAAGAUUAUUAAUGUAUUAUAUUUAACAAGGUCAUCAAAUUUGAGCAACUUUGAUUGCAUAAACAGAUUAUGAGUAUGUUCUAAAUAACCAACGUUGUGAAUGAUCCACACUGCUCUUUUCUGUAAUAUGAUCAGAGGAUGAAUUGUGUUGUGGUAAGUAUUCAUACCCACAGUGAUCAAAAAUUCUAAAUUUGACAGAACAUUUUGGGGAAAAAUAGGCUUCUAACACUCAAACCUACGUCAUUGACAAGACCUACGUGCUUGUCAGGAGAGCUCAGUUCAGCAAGCAUCUAAGGCAGGGGUGUCAAAACUACGACCCGCGUGCCAAGUGCGGCCUGCCAGCGUCCUCAGUUUGGCCCACGAGAUGGCAUGAGUUGAAUAAGAAAUGUAAUCUGUGGGGUGUUUUUAAAUUGAUUUUGAAUAUCUGACACUGCGAUUGUUGAAAAAUUUGCUACCAUUUUGUGGAUGACGUGGGUAAAUCAGGUCAUUGACCAUGAAUUAUACUUUGAAGCUAAUACAGCACAGCAUUCACUUGUAUGACCCAAUCUAAACAACCUUCGCUAGUUGUGGCACAAAAAAAAAGGCAACCAACACAAGUCAACACAACCUGCUCACUGAACUUUGUGAAUACUAAAAAAAACAUUAAAGCGCCUGAAUUUUUUUUUCAAAAUUACACCCAUUUAAAUCCAUUACAAUGCAUGAUGGGGAAAAAAACACUCUCUCAACACUUAUCCAUGUUUGGCCCAUUUUAGCUACUUGAUAUUAUUGAUUGAUUACAAAACUUCGAGCAGGUCAUCACGGAAGUAAACAAGGUAGGAGUCAAACUUUCACAUUAAUUUUUGAUGAUAUAUCCAUUAUAUUAAUAUUAUAUGUGCACACGUAUGGCCCCCAGCCAAAUGUUUUAGCCCAAUGCAGCCCCUAAGUCAAAAAGUUUGGACAUCCCAGAUCUAAGGAUUAACUUGGCUUCUUUCAGGCUCACAUUUAAAAAGCCUUGCUUGUUCGCAAAGUUCUCUUCAAAUCUUCUCUUCUUUUUACACUCGUAUGGCACUUAAGAAUGUUUUUUUUCAUCUUGUAUGGAUGUCACACGAGCUCAGCCUUAAUGAGCCUUAUUACUGUCUGUUUGUUCUUUGUAUUGUGGUGUCUAUUCUUCAUCAAUUAUUCAGCUGGGACACAGGUGAGUGCGUGUCCGGGUGUUUGUGUGCGCGUGCGUGCGUGUGAAUAAUUGAUGCAUCUAUUAUGAGCCUUCAUUUUAAUCCUUUCGACUUUGUGGCAACCCAAUUAUAACUUUUUGUUUGAGCCUCUCUUUGCAGGCUGAAACACAGGUGUGCGCACACACAAAAUACACACACUGGACACUUUAUCAGGUACAUAAUUCACUGUUCCAGUAAUCAACAAAAAUGACCACCUUGCCUUCGGAUUGACAGAAAGGUUGGGUCUUUGUUGUCCUUGUCUUUGUUCGUGUUCAGCUGAGCGUCUGAUUGGACGCCGUCUGAAAUUCCAUCACACUCAACAGGAAGAACCAGCGGAUGUUGGACUGACUGCACUAAACCUGAUCCGGUCAGCCGGAGGGGGUCUCCAUCACCCCCCACUGAGAAGCUCAGUCUGACCUCCUAAUGGCGCAUGCAGGCCAACUGCAAUGGAUUGUGGGAGACUUUUUGGGGUGGCACAAAUGCAAGGUCAAGGACUUUUCACACACGGCCUUUGUCAACGUCACAGCAACAACUCCAAGACAUGACCACUUCAUUAGGUACACUAUCUAAUGAGAUGCAAUAAAGAUCAAAAUAUGAUGUUUUAGUUAGAGCUGAGUAACAUUUAACACUUAAUCAGAGUAAUCACAGAGUUGCUAUGGAUUAAUUCCGAAUAACACGUUUAAAUAUCUGUUUUAAAUUUUUUUAAAGUUUAAUU